GACGUAGGUGGCGAACGUUAUCCGGAAUUAUUGGGCGUAAAGGGUGCGUAGGCGGCAUGAUAAGUUAUUGGCGGCAAAUCGAGGCUCAACCUCGUGGAAACUGGUAAUACUGUCUUGCUUGAGUGCAGAAGAGGUUAACGGAACUCCAUGUGGAGCGGUAAAAUGUGUAGAUAUAUGGAAGAACAUCAAUAACGGCGAAGGCAGUUAACUAUUCUGUUACUGACGUUGAGGCACGAAAGCGUGGGGAGCAAAACGG
rnacentral:rRNA from 1 species